rnacentral:rRNA from 1 species
GACGAACGCUGGCGGCGUGCUUAACACAUGCAAGUCGAACGGAAAGGCCCUGCUUUUGUGGGGUGCUCGAGUGGCGAACGGGUGAGUAACACGUGAGUAACCUGCCCUUGACUUUGGGAUAACUUCAGGAAACUGGGGCUAAUACCGGAUAGGAGCUCCUGCUGCAUGGUGGGGGUUGGAAAGUUUCGGCGGUUGGGGAUGGACUCGCGGCUUAUCAGCUUGUUGGUGGGGUAGUGGCUUACCAAGGCUUUGACGGGUAGCCGGCCUGAGAGGGUGACCGGCCACAUUGGGACUGAGAUACGGCCCAGACUCCUACGGGAGGCAGCAGUGGGGAAUUGUGCACAAUGGGCGGAAGCCUGAUGCAGCAACGCCGCGUGCGGGAUGACGGCCUUCGGGUUGUAAACCGCUUUCGCCUGUGACGAAGCGUGAGUGACGGUAAUGGGUAAAGAAGCACCGGCUAACUACGUG